UUAAGCGACUAAGCGUACACGGUGGAUGCCCUGGCAGUCAGAGGCGAUGAAGGACGUGCUAAUCUGCGAUAAGCGUCGGUAAGGUGAUAUGAACCGUUAUAACCGGCGAUUUCCGAAUGGGGAAACCCAGUGUGUUUCGACACACUAUCAUUAACUGAAUCCAUAGGUUAAUGAGGCGAACCGGGGGAACUGAAACAUCUAAGUACCCCGAGGAAAAGAAAUCAACCGAGAUUCCCCCAGUAGCGGCGAGCGAACGGGGAGCAGCCCAGAGCCUGAAUCAGUAUGUGUGUUAGUGGAAGCGUCUGGAAAGGCGCGCGAUACAGGGUGACAGCCCCGUACACAAAAAUGCACAUGCUGUGAGCUCGAUGAGUAGGGCGGGACACGUGGUAUCCUGUCUGAAUAUGGGGGGGACCAUCCUCCAAGGCUAAAUACUCCUGACUGACCGAUAGUGAACCAGUACCGUGAGGGAAAGGCGAAAAGAACCCCGGCGAGGGGAGUGAAAAAGAACCUGAAACCGUGUACGUACAAGCAGUGGGAGCACGCUUAGGCGUGUGACUGCGUACCUUUUGUAUAAUGGGUCAGCGACUUAUAUUCUGUAGCAAGGUUAACCGAAUAGGGGAGCCGAAGGGAAACCGAGUCUUAACUGGGCGUUAAGUUGCAGGGUAUAGACCCGAAACCCGGUGAUCUAGCCAUGGGCAGGUUGAAGGUUGGGUAACACUAACUGGAGGACCGAACCGACUAAUGUUGAAAAAUUAGCGGAUGACUUGUGGCUGGGGGUGAAAGGCCAAUCAAACCGGGAGAUAGCUGGUUCUCCCCGAAAGCUAUUUAGGUAGCGCCUCGUGAAUUCAUCUCCGGGGGUAGAGCACUGUUUCGGCAAGGGGGUCAUCCCGACUUACCAACCCGAUGCAAACUGCGAAUACCGGAGAAUGUUAUCACGGGAGACACACGGCGGGUGCUAACGUCCGUCGUGAAGAGGGAAACAACCCAGACCGCCAGCUAAGGUCCCAAAGUCAUGGUUAAGUGGGAAACGAUGUGGGAAGGCCCAGACAGCCAGGAUGUUGGCUUAGAAGCAGCCAUCAUUUAAAGAAAGCGUAAUAGCUCACUGGUCGAGUCGGCCUGCGCGGAAGAUGUAACGGGGCUAAACCAUGCACCGAAGCUGCGGCAGCGACGCUUAUGCGUUGUUGGGUAGGGGAGCGUUCUGUAAGCCUGCGAAGGUGUGCUGUGAGGCAUGCUGGAGGUAUCAGAAGUGCGAAUGCUGACAUAAGUAACGAUAAAGCGGGUGAAAAGCCCGCUCGCCGGAAGACCAAGGGUUCCUGUCCAACGUUAAUCGGGGCAGGGUGAGUCGACCCCUAAGGCGAGGCCGAAAGGCGUAGUCGAUGGGAAACAGGUUAAUAUUCCUGUACUUGGUGUUACUGCGAAGGGGGGACGGAGAAGGCUAUGUUGGCCGGGCGACGGUUGUCCCGGUUUAAGCGUGUAGGCUGGUUUUCCAGGCAAAUCCGGAAAAUCAAGGCUGAGGCGUGAUGACGAGGCACUACGGUGCUGAAGCAACAAAUGCCCUGCUUCCAGGAAAAGCCUCUAAGCAUCAGGUAACAUCAAAUCGUACCCCAAACCGACACAGGUGGUCAGGUAGAGAAUACCAAGGCGCUUGAGAGAACUCGGGUGAAGGAACUAGGCAAAAUGGUGCCGUAACUUCGGGAGAAGGCACGCUGAUAUGUAGGUGAAGUCCCUCGCGGAUGGAGCUGAAAUCAGUCGAAGAUACCAGCUGGCUGCAACUGUUUAUUAAAAACACAGCACUGUGCAAACACGAAAGUGGACGUAUACGGUGUGACGCCUGCCCGGUGCCGGAAGGUUAAUUGAUGGGGUUAGCCGCAAGGCGAAGCUCUUGAUCGAAGCCCCGGUAAACGGCGGCCGUAACUAUAACGGUCCUAAGGUAGCGAAAUUCCUUGUCGGGUAAGUUCCGACCUGCACGAAUGGCGUAAUGAUGGCCAGGCUGUCUCCACCCGAGACUCAGUGAAAUUGAACUCGCUGUGAAGAUGCAGUGUACCCGCGGCAAGACGGAAAGACCCCGUGAACCUUUACUAUAGCUUGACACUGAACAUUGAGCCUUGAUGUGUAGGAUAGGUGGGAGGCUUUGAAGUGUGGACGCCAGUCUGCAUGGAGCCGACCUUGAAAUACCACCCUUUAAUGUUUGAUGUUCUAACGUUGACCCGUAAUCCGGGUUGCGGACAGUGUCUGGUGGGUAGUUUGACUGGGGCGGUCUCCUCCUAAAGAGUAACGGAGGAGCACGAAGGUUGGCUAAUCCUGGUCGGACAUCAGGAGGUUAGUGCAAUGGCAUAAGCCAGCUUGACUGCGAGCGUGACGGCGCGAGCAGGUGCGAAAGCAGGUCAUAGUGAUCCGGUGGUUCUGAAUGGAAGGGCCAUCGCUCAACGGAUAAAAGGUACUCCGGGGAUAACAGGCUGAUACCGCCCAAGAGUUCAUAUCGACGGCGGUGUUUGGCACCUCGAUGUCGGCUCAUCACAUCCUGGGGCUGAAGUAGGUCCCAAGGGUAUGGCUGUUCGCCAUUUAAAGUGGUACGCGAGCUGGGUUUAGAACGUCGUGAGACAGUUCGGUCCCUAUCUGCCGUGGGCGCUGGAGAACUGAGGGGGGCUGCUCCUAGUACGAGAGGACCGGAGUGGACGCAUCACUGGUGUUCGGGUUGUCAUGCCAAUGGCACUGCCCGGUAGCUAAAUGCGGAAGAGAUAAGUGCUGAAAGCAUCUAAGCACGAAACUUGCCCCGAGAUGAGUUCUCCCUGACUCCUUGAGAGUCCUGAAGGAACGUUGAAGACGACGACGUUGAUAGGCCGGGUGUGUAAGCGCAGCGAUGCGUUGAGCUAACCGGUACUAAUGAACCGUGAGGCUUAACCUU
rnacentral:rRNA from 1 species